rnacentral:rRNA from 1 species
CGAAAGCCUGACGGAGCCAGACCGCGUGAGGGAAGAAAGUCUUUGGAUCGUAAACCUCUUUUCUCAGGGAAGAAGAUCUGACGGUACCUGAGGAAUCAGCCUCGGCUAACUCCGUGCCAGCAGCCGCGGUAAUACGGAGGAGGCAAGCGUUAUUCGGAAUUAUUGGGCGUAAAGCGUCCGCAGGGGGCUCAUCAAGUCUGCUGUUAAAGGCUGGAGCUCAACUCCGGUAGAGCAGUGGAAACUGGUGCGCUAGAGGGCGACAGGGGUAGAGGGAAUUCCCAGUGUAGCGGUGAAAUGCGUAGAGAUUGGGAAGAACACCGGUGGCGAAAGCGCUCUACUGGGUCGCACCUGACCCUCAGGGACGAAAGCUAAGGUAGCG